rnacentral:RNase_P_RNA from 1 species
CAGACAGUCGCGUGGCCAGGCCGAAAGGCCGGUCAUGAGGAAAGUCCGGGCUCCACAGGGCAAGGAUAACGGGUAACGCCCGCCCAGAGCGAUCUGAGGAAAAGUGCAACAGAGAUAUACCGCCGUCAAGGCUGCUCUGUGCUGGUAAACUGCGAUGGUUGAUGACACUUCCCCCGGGCGAAUGCGCAGGGGUGUUGUGUGAAGAGGGACGAAGGGUCCCGCUUCACGAUUUCAAUCAGCCCGCCCGCAGGCGGCCGAUUCCGCAGGAAUCGGUUUACCGGCAGAGCGCAGCUCUGACGGUAAGGGUGGAAAGGCGAGGUAAGAGCUCACCCAUCACAUGGGAACAUCGUGAUGCUGUAAACUCUAUCCGGAGCAACACCGGUAUGGGAGCAUACAGGCUGGCCCGGCCGCUCCCGGGGUGGCUUGAGCGUACUGGCAACAGUGCGUCGAGAUAGAUGACUGUCAAAUACAGAACCCGGCUUACAGUUUUGCUCG